rnacentral:rRNA from 1 species
UACGUAGGUGGCAAGCGUUGUCCGGAUUUAUUGGGCUUAAAGGGUGCGUAGGCGGCCUUGUAAGUCAGUGGUGAAAUAUCCCGGCUUAACCGGGAGGGUGGCAUUGAUACUGCAGGGCUUGAGUAAAGUUGAGGUUGGCGGAAUUGACGGUGUAGCGGUGAAAUGCUUAGAUAUCGGCAAGAACACCGAUAGUGAAGACAGCUAACUAAGCUUUAACUGACGCUGAGGCACGAAAGUGUGGGGAGCAAACAGG